GGCUUGUUGGUGUAAUGGUAACACAUUCCGUGUACCUUGUGAAAUGUUUGCAUAUUGUUUGACGGAAAGUCCGGAGUUCGAUUCUCCGUCAAGCUA